rnacentral:lncRNA from 1 species
CAGGAGGAAUGACAGAAUUAGUGGGAAAAUCAGUGUUUUGUGACUCCUAAUGAAAUAAUGGAUCUAGGGAACAUUCAUCUGUGGCUGCUAAAAUGAUCAGGUGGAGGCUGAUGGGGAGCUUCCCAGCAGAUGGGUCAUGCUGCAGCAGCUGAACCAAAUGACCAGCCCUUUAUAUGACCAUCAUUUUAUUAUUGUGGUAAAUAUACACAACAUAAAAUUGACCCCAGUUAUCAAUCUUGACAUCACUGACAGUGACAAAUAGAUACUGUGCCAGAACUGAUAUGCUAGGAGGGAUGCUGGACUGCCUACCAAACAUGUUCGGGGAAAAAACCCAACGUAAACUGGAAUGUAAUCAAGCCUCUAGACCAGCAUUGUCAAAUUACUUCUUUUUCUUUUCCUUUUUUUUCUUUUUGAGAUAGAGUCUCGCUCUGUUGCCCAGGCUGGAGUGUAGUGGUGGGAUCUCAGCUCACUGCAACCUCCACCUCCUGGGUUCGAGUGACUCUCCUUCCUCAACCUCCCGAGUAGCUGGGACUCCAGGCGCCCACCACCAUGCCCAGCUAAUUUUUGCAUUUUUAGAAGAGAUGGGGUUUGGCCAUUUGGCCAGGCUGGUCUUGAACUGUUGACCUCAAGUGAUCCACCCACCUUGGCCUCCCAAAGUGCUGGGAUUACAAGCGUGAGCCACUGCACCUGGCCUCAAAUUACUUUCAAUAGAAAAAAACUGCAAUUACUUUUGUACCAACCUAAUAUAACGUGAGCUACCCUGUAACCCCAAACCAAGAAACGCCUGGAGCCGCCAGCAGCUGGAAGAGGCAGGAAGCGUCCUCGGCUAGAGCCCUGGGAGGGAGCGGGGCCUGCUGACUCCUGUUUCAUGCUUCUGGCCUCCAGAAUUGUGAGAGAAUCAUUUCCUGUUGGGUAAGCCACCAAGUUCAUGGUAAUUUGUGAUACUGGCCACAGGACACUCGUACACAGGGGUUCCUCAGCCUACACACUGGGAAACAUCGAUGGGAACCACCUUUCCCAUGAGCGGUAUCCAGAACACGGCCAGUGACCGGAACAUGAAGAGUCUUCGGCAGCUGAAGGGCCCUUUGAGCAGCGUUUCUCAAACUAUACACCUGGGUCACCGUGGGAUCUCGUUCAGGGCACCUCCGAUUCAGUCACGUAGGGCGCCUAGAGGCGCUGCAUCCAGGCCUCAUGCUUCAAGGCUUAAGGACCUGGAGAUGAUCUAACCCCAGGCUCUGAGCCUCCCAAAGUCCCAUGAAGGUGCAGGCGAUUAUUUCUGUGCAGCUAUGUAAAGACUUUCAUCUAGGGAGAGAAUCCACAGCUUUUAUCUGAUAUUCUCGGCCUCCCAAGUGGCUGGGACCUCAGGCGUGCGCCACCAUAUCUGGCUAAUUUUUUGUUUAUUUUUUGUAGAGAUAUGGGUCUCACUAUGUUGCCCGGGCUGGUCUCAAACUCCUGAGUUCAAGUGAUCCUCCUGCCUCUGCCUCCCAAAAUGUUGGGAUCACAGGUGUGAACCACCACGCCUGGUUUAUGUGUUUUUCAAAGAUGCAAAUGCCCCAGGAAGGGGUCAGAACCUCAGAACUUACCCUGUGACUUAAUUUCACAGAAAAAAGAAUGAGGAAAUGGAGGUGCUGAGAGGGGAAGCGUCUCCCAGGGUCACACAGCUCAGGACCAGAGAUGGCAGACCUCGAGCCUCUCACUCUGCGUUUUAUGUGGCCUGCGUGGUGGUCUUAAACUUUGAAAUCAUUGUCAACACUUAAAAUUUUUUCCAUUCAAAAAACAACUUCCUGGAGUGUGUUGACAUUUGUAAGUUCUGCCCAUGCUGGACUGCACUCCUGGCUGCAGCAAUUGGCCGGCGCUGAGUAAAAGUUCCCCUUCCGCCCCAGGCCUCACCCUGCCCUAUCGCCCUAUCAGGCUGGCUCCGCUCUCUGCCGGGCUCCUCCACGUGUUUCAGCUUAUGGCCCAGAGACAGCUGCAGAGCUAAACCAGACCCUAAAUAUCCACUCCCUGGGUCCUGGCCGUGCUCCGAGGCCAGUCUGCCUCCCCUCCACGCAGCUCUCUUUGGGCCGGGGCUGAGCUGGGAUUCUGUCUGAGCAAAGGUUCAGCAGCUUCCAGCUGCCGCCCCUGCGCAGAGGUCCUUCACACAGCAGCCUGUGGUGCUGCUACAAACGGUGGUUCUUUGUUUUCCAGUUCUUUUACCCCUGCGGUGACUUUUAUUACUUAAUUAUUACACACCCCAUGCUUCUGAGCAGCCUAAUUUAUAGCUGUGUUUUCUAAUGACACUAGAUUCAUAAUCUGAAAAUAUCUACCCCAAGAGACCGUUCACAACAGAAAAGCUCUCUUCUCAGCAGUCCCCGGUACAUCCAUCGCCACCACAAAGGCACCCUCAGCCCUCCUGCGGGCUCGGCUGACAUCCUCAUGUCUAGCUCCGGCCAGCAGCUCUUAUUACUGGGAAAGGGGCUUGGGGCAUGAGAGUAACCGACAAACCCUGGGAGUCCCAACGGCCCCAGCCUGGGUUCUCUGAAGGAGACCGGCAGGCUGUGCCCCUUCUGCUGGGGCGCAUUACCUUGGAUACAAAGAUGUAAUUGAAGAAUACAUAGCGGCUUUAGCUGUAACAGUGCAAAACUGGAAAACAAAAACAUCCUUCAAUGAAUGAAUGAAAAGGAGAGGAUGAAAAGACAAGCUAUAGAUCAGAAGAACAUCCAAUUCCAUCCAUACCAUGGAAUACCACUCAGCAACGAAAAAGAAUGAACUCUCCCUACAUGCAACAUCUCAGAUGAACUCUAGGCCUUAUGCAGAGCAAAAAAGGCCAACCUCAAAAGGUUACACGCUGUGUGAUUCCAUAUAUUUAACAUUCUUGAAAUUUUCCAGGCAUUGGGAAAUAGAGGGAAGCAGGGUUCACUAUAGGGGGUGUGAGGAAGAUCUUUGGAUGACAGAACAGUUUUGUGUCUUGAUUGUGUCACACAAAUCUACACAUGUGAUAAAACUGCAAGAACUAAAUACAUCACACACACACACACAUACACACAUGCCCACAUGCAGAUGAGGGCAUAUAAAAUUGGCAGCUGAAUGGAAUCUGUGCAUAGUACCAAUGUCAAGUUUUUGGUUUUCAUUUUGCAAUCUAGUUAUGUGAAAUUUUGUCAUUGUGGGGAACUGGGUGAAGAGGACGUGGGUUUUCUCUGUACAAACUUUCUCUUUAAAACUUUCUGUGAAUUUAUAAUCAUCUCAAAGUAAAAU